rnacentral:rRNA from 1 species
UACGUAGGGACCUAGCGUUGUCCGGAAUCAUUGGGCGUAAAGCGCGCGUAGGCGGCCCGGUAAGUCCGUUGUAAAAGUCGAAGGCUCAACCUUCGAAAGCCGAUGGAUACUGCCGGGCUAGAGUACGGAAGAGGCGAGUAGAAUUCCUGGUGUAGCGGUGGAAUGCGCAAAUAUCAGGAGGAAUACCCAUAGCGAAGGCAGCUCGCUGGGACGUUACUGACGCUGAGGCGCGAAAGCGUGGGGAGCGAACAGG